rnacentral:rRNA from 1 species
ACACGUAGGGGCCUGACGUCGUUCGGAAUCAUUGGGCGUAAAGGGCGCGCAGGCGGCCGUCCAAGUCCGGUGUUAAAUGGUCGGGCUCAACCCGAUCAUGCGCUGGAAACUGGGCGGCUGGAGUCCCGGAGGGGAUGCCGGAAUUCCAGGUGUAGGGGUGAAAUCUGUAGAUAUCUGGAAGAACACUGAUGGCGAAGGCAGGCAUCUGGCCGGAGACUGACGCUGAGGCGCGAAGGCGCGGGGAGCGAACAGGUUUAGAUACCCUGGUAGUCCGCGCAGUAAACGAUGCGCACCAGGUGUCGGGCGGCAGCGCCCGGUACCGGAGCAAACGCGAUGAGUGCGCCGCCUGGGGAGUAUGCCCGCAAGGGUGAAACUCAAAUGAAUUGACGGGG